rnacentral:rRNA from 1 species
UACGGGGAGAGCAAGCGUUGUUCGGAAUUACUGGGCGUAAAGAGCGCGUAGGCGGUCCGCUAAGUUGAAUGUGAAAACUCUGGGCUUAACCCAGAGCCUGCAUUCAAUACUGGCAGGCUAGAGUUCUGGAGGGAAUAGCGGAAUUCCUGGUGUAGCGGUGAAAUGCGUAGAUAUCAGGAGGAACACCGGUGGCGAAGGCGGCUAUCUGGACAGAGUCUGACGCUGAGGCGCGAAAGCUAGGGGAGCAAACAGG